CCUACGGGUGGCAGCAGUGGGGAAUAUUGCACAAUGGGCGCAAGCCUGAUGCAGCCAUGCCGCGUGUGUGAAGAAGGCCUUCGGGUUGUAAAGCACUUUCAGCGGGGAGGAAGGCGGUGAGGUUAAUAACCUCAUCGAUUGACGUUACCCGCAGAAGAAGCACCGGCUAACUCCGUGCCAGCAGCCGCGGUAAUACGGAGGGUGCAAGCGUUAAUCGGAAUUACUGGGCGUAAAGCGCACGCAGGCGGUCUGUCAAGUCGGAUGUGAAAUCCCCGGGCUCAACCUGGGAACUGCAUUCGAAGCUGGCAGGCUAGAGUCUUGUAGAGGGGGGUAGAAUUCCAGGUGUAGCGGUGAAAUGCGUAGAGAUCGGGAGGAAUACCGGUGGCGAAGGCGGCCCCCUGGACAAAGACUGACGCUCAGGUGCGAAAGCGUGGGGAGCAAACGGGAUUAGAUACCCUAGUAGUC
rnacentral:rRNA from 1 species